ensembl:lncRNA
GAAUGUUUUGUCUCUUGGUAAAUGGCCUCGUGAAGACCUUUUAACUUAUUUUUGUCUAUAUAUAAGUCUUUGAUGCGGUCAUCAGACACCACGUUGUCAAAGAGUCGCUUGUGCAGUUCGACUGAAGGUUUGUAGUGGGACGUGUUUGCGUGUGAGAGCACAUCACGAAUAAGUGUGCUCACACACUCUUUAACCUCAACAUCAUGAGAUGUCCUACUACCGCCAGAUUUGGAUUUUUCCUCCGAGAUACGAAGAGUUGCUGUUGCAUCUCAUCAGACGGCGGCACCUUUGCCUCUCUUGAGGCGCGUAUAAUCACAGCUUUUAUGAGCUCUUUAACGAGCCGCUGUUGCUCCAACAGUGGUUCCACAGUCACAUCACCAGGCGCCUGCUUGGUGUUUUCAUCUGGGCACCCUGUUUUCAGUGCACGCCACUGUUCUUCUGUUUUUUUCUGUUUUGUUUUGGAUUUUAUAGUUUCCCUACAUUCACUCAAAGGAUUCAUGUCUGUUUUUGUAUUGAUGUUUUCUGUUAGCUGAUGCGCUCGCCUGUGAAACAUUAAUGCUUCUUGGCUGGUGAGCUAUGCUAAUUUAAAUGUUUAUGUAGCUUCACUCAUUCACCUGCAGAUACAGACGGCUAUCAGAAUGGUCACAUGUCUGUCUUAUUAAAGAACAUUACAGGUGAUCACGCGCGGUGAGUUACAGCCAGCAAGGAGUCACGCAGUUUUUGUGUGCAUGUCUGUGCACGUGGACAUUUAUUAUAGCUUUGUUUUGUCUUCACAGAGUGGUUUUAUCAUUCAAUCAGCACACCACCCACUCUUUUUAUGUAUUUAUUUAUUUUAGCUUCUUAAAAGGCUGAUGGAAACAAAGCAUUUGCCAGGUUCCCACAACUACUUUUACUUUGAAAGAAGGCCCGGAAGUUUUAUUUUUUGCCUGCAGUAGUCCACAAGUCACAUCGCUGCUUGGUGCCAGAAUAAUUAUGAUGAUGCACUAAUCAAAAAUGAAACUCAAUGCUUCACAAUCCAGUUGCCUCCAUAUAUGAAAACAGCCCUUUAAGGUUAAACAUUCAAAUCUCAGACACGGAUUCCCUGUCAGAAUAAAUGUUUCAAGCUUUCUGUUAACCUGUUUCAAAUUUACAUUUUGAACUUGAUUUUCAAUUUGAUUGUUCAGGUUUAGCCAGCAAAAUCUACAGAUUCUAUAGUUUUUGCUGGCUAAACCAGCAAAAACCUGGCUAAACCUUACAUUUAUAAAAAUAAUUAAAUAAUUUUGCAUCUCUAUCAUAGAUAACAUGGCUGAAAGUCAAGAUGUUUGGUCCUGAAAAUGUUCCCCAAGUGACUCCUGAAAAACAGCAGCACAGAGAAACUUUUAGCAGUGGUUUUCUGUAUGAUUUCAUUGCUGUUUCACAUCACCAUGGAUGAAUUUCAGCCCACACUUCUUUACAAUGUUUCUUCAGUGUUUUGAAGUUUGGGCGUAUUUGUUUAUGCAUCUUUAUACAUCUCUCUCUUAUGGUUGCACCAAAGGUUUCCCAUCAGGUUGAGGUCUGAACUUUGUCUGGGUCAUUGCAUUGACUCUAGAGUACUUUGGUAUCAAGAGGAGUUCAUGGAGAAGCCAGUGACUGAAAGGAGCACAGAUCCUGUGCAAAACAAACCCAUCAUCACUCCUCCACCACCGUGCUUAACAGUUGGCUUGUGUAACUACCAACCGCAGGGUGAAUAAUCUAAUGUGAAGACUGGCUUCUACCUUGAAUGCUUUCCACUUGUGAAUAAUUUCUCUUACUGUAGAAUGAUGGACUUUGGAGUUUUUUGGAAUGGCCUUAUAACUCCACCAUGCCACCGUGGCAUGGUGGUUAGCACUGUUGCCACACAGCAAGAAGAUCCUGAGUUCAAUUCCACCAUCAGGCCGGGGUCUUUCUGUGUGGAGUUUCCUCCGGGUACUCCGGCUUCCUCCCACCGUCCAAAGACAUGCAGCUUGUGGGGUUAGGUUAAUUGGAUAAUCCAAAUUGCCACUAGGUGUGAAUGGUAGUCCGUCCCUGCAACAGACUGGCGACCUGUCCAGGGUGUACCCCGCCUCUGGCCCUAUGACAGCUGGGAUAGGCUCCAGCGCGCCCCGCGCCCCUAAAAAGGAUAAGCGGAAGCGAAUGGAUGGAUGGAUGGCCUUAUAACUCUCCCCAGAUUGAUGUGUAGCAGCAUUUGCUCCUCCAGGGUCAUCGCUGAUGACUUUCUUCUUUAGAGUUGUGUUAACAAACAUCAUAAAGCUUCAGACCAGGAAACUGCAAAACCUUCUGAUUUUAUAGACAUGGUCAACACUACCUCACAGUAACAUGAAGCAGUGUGCGGAGAUCACAGUACGGGGAACAUUAGUGUGAUCGUGUGCUAUUAACUUGUUGCUUUUAAAAUGUCAGUUGACAUCUUCAAAGCAAUUUUGGUGCAGUGAUAGCAACAAGAUGGAGU